AACAGCAGCCCCUCCUAGGAGACGGGAAACCAAAGGGAAGAAGGAGGCAGUUACCCCAACCUGUGUGUGCAGAAGGUGCAGACACUGCUUGCUCAGCUGGGCUCACUUGCCAGGCAAGUGACACACCCUCUGGACGCCAGUUUACAGCCCUCAGUGAGGACUUGGACUCAGGAUCAUUGUAAGUGCAAGGGGGCGCUGGGUGGCUCAGUAGGUUGGGUGUCCAACUCUUGAUUUAGGCUCAGGUCAUGAUCUCAGGGUGGUGGGAUGGAGCCCUACAACGGGUGCCCGGCUCAGUGGGGCAUCUACUCGAGAGUC
rnacentral:lncRNA from 12 species